rnacentral:lncRNA from 1 species
AGAUCCACUUGCAGGUUGCUGCUCCCAGCCAUGGCUUCGCGCUGCUGGCGCUGGUGGGGCUGGUCGGCGUGGCCUCGGACCCGGCUGCCUCCCGCCGGGAGCACCCCGAGCUUCUGCCACCAUUUCUCCACACAGGAGAAGACCCCCCAGAUCUGUGUGGUGGGCAGUGGCCCAGCUGGCUUCUACACGGCCCAACACCUGCUAAAGCACCCCCAGGCCCACGUGGACAUCUACGAGAAACAGCCUGUGCCCUUUGGCCUGGUGCGCUUUGGUGUGGCGCCUGAUCACCCCGAGGUGAAGGUGGGUGUCUCUGGGCCUGGAGGCUGGGGUUUGGAGACUUUGGUCAAGAUGAGGAGGGCAGGGAGGCUCCCUGGCUGGAUGACAGGACUUCAUGCCGUCUGUGCCCAUGCCACCCAGCUUCCCUCCUGGGGACACAGAGUGGUGAGGGUGGUGCAGACUUGGUCCCUGGAGCUGCCUUACCCUCUAACCCCUCCCAUUCCCGGGGGACCUGGCAGAAUGUCAUCAACACAUUUACCCAGACGGCCCAUUCUGGCCGCUGUGCCUUCUGGGGC